CAGUCGCCGCGGUAAUACGAAGGGGGCUAGCGUUGUUCGGAAUCACUGGGCGUAAAGCGCACGUAGGCGGACACUUAAGUCAGAGGUGAAAUCCCAAGGCUCAACCUUGGAACUGCCUUUGAUACUGGGUGUCUUGAGGUCGAGAGAGGUGAGUGGAACUGCGAGUGUAGAGGUGAAAUUCGUAGAUAUUCGCAAGAACACCAGUGGCGAAGGCGGCUCACUGGCUCGAUUCUGACGCUGAGGUGCGAAAGCGUGGGGAGCAAACAGGAUUAGAGACCCCUGUAGUCCCUGUCUCUUAUAC
rnacentral:rRNA from 1 species